UACGUAGGGUGCGAGCGUUGUCCGGAUUUAUUGGGCGUAAAGAGCUCGUAGGCGGUUUGUCGCGUCGGCCGUGAAAUCUCCACGCUUAACCCUGAGCCUGCUUCCGAUACGGGCAGACUAGAGGUAUGCAGGGGAGAACGGAAUUCCUGGUGUAGCGGUGGAAUGCGCAGGAUAUCGAGGAGGAACACCGGUGGCGAAGGCGGAU
rnacentral:rRNA from 1 species